UAUAGCGUCCUUGGACAUUGUCCGGAAUCCUGCAGAGAUGCGGGAGUGCCUUCGGGAAUCGGAACACAGGUGCUGCAUGGCUGUCGUCAGCUCGUGUCGUGAGAUGUUGGGUUAAGUCCCGCAACGAGCGCAACCCUUGUCCUUAGUUGCCAGCGAGUAAUGUCGGGAACUCUAAGGAGACUGCCGGUGACAAACCGGAGGAAGGUGGGGAUGACGUCAAGUCCUCAUGGCCCUUACGGCCAGGGCUACACACGUACUACAAUGGUCGGUACAGAGGGUUGCGAAACCGCGAGGUGGAGCCAAUCCCAGAAAGCCGAUCCCAGUCCGGAUCGGAGUCUGCAACUCGACUCCGUGAAGUCGGAAUCGCUAGUAAUCGCGGAUCAGCUAUGCCGCGGUGAAUACGUUCCCGGGUCUGUACCACACCGA
rnacentral:rRNA from 1 species